GACGAACGCUGGCGGCGCGCCUAACACAUGCAAGUCGAACGAGAGAGAGGGAGCUUGCUUCCUCAAUCGAGUGGCGAACGGGUGAGUAACGCGUGAGGAACUUGCCUCAAAGAGGGGGACAACAGUUGGAAACGACUGCUAAUACCGCAUAAGCCCACGACCCGGCAUCGGGAAGAGGGAAAAGGAGCAAUCCGCUUUGAGAUGGCCUCGCGUCCGAUUAGCUAGUUGGUGAGGUAACGGCCCACCAAGGCGACGAUCGGUAGCCGGACUGAGAGGUUGAACGGCCACAUUGGGACUGAGACACGGCCCAGACUCCUACGGGAGGCAGCAGUGGGGAAUAUUGCACAAUGGGGGAAACCCUGAUGCAGCGACGCCGCGUGGAGGAAGAAGGUCUUCGGAUUGUAAACUCCUGUUGUUGAGGAAGAUAAUGACGGUACUCAACAAGGAAGUGACGGCUAACUACGUGCCAGCAGCCGCGGUAAAACGUAGGUCACAAGCGUUGUCCGGAAUUACUGGGUGUAAAGGGAGCGCAGGCGGGCGAUCAAGUUGGAAGUGAAAUCCAUGGGCUCAACCCAUGAACUGCUUUCAAAACUGGCCGUCUUGAGUAGUGCAGAGGUAGGCGGAAUUCCCGGUGUAGCGGUGGAAUGCGUAGAUAUCGGGAGGAACACCAGUGGCGAAGGCGGCCUACUGGGCACCAACUGACGCUGAGGCUCGAAAGUGUGGGUAGCAAACA
rnacentral:rRNA from 1 species